GAUGAACGCUGGCGGCGUGCUUAACACAUGCAAGUCGAACGAUGAAGCUGGAGCUUGCUCUGGUGGAUUAGUGGCGAACGGGUGAGUAACACGUGAGUAACCUGCCCUUGACUCUGGGAUAAGCGCUGGAAACGGCGUCUAAUACCGGAUACGAGCUUCCACCGCAUGGUGAGUUGCUGGAAAGAAUUUCGGUCAAGGAUGGACUCGCGGCCUAUCAGCUUGUUGGUGAGGUAACGGCUCACCAAGGCGACGACGGGUAGCCGGCCUGAGAGGGUGACCGGCCACACUGGGACUGAGACACGGCCCAGACUCCUACGGGAGGCAGCAGUGGGGAAUAUUGCACAAUGGGCGCAAGCCUGAUGCAGCAACGCCGCGUGAGGGACGAAGGCCUUCGGGUCGUAAACCUCUUUUAGCAGGGAAGAAGCGAAAGUGACGGUACCUGCAGAAAAAGCACCGGCUAACUACGUGCCAGCAGCCGCGGUAAUACGUAGGGUGCGAGCGUUAUCCGGAAUUAUUGGGCGUAAAGAGCUCGUAGGCGGUUUGUCACGUCUGCUGUGAAAACUGGAGGCUCAACCUUCAGCCUGCAGUGGGUACGGGCAGACUAGAGUGCGGUAGGGGAGAUUGGAAUUCCUGGUGUAGCGGUGGAAUGCGCAGAUAUCAGGAGGAACACCGAUGGCGAAGGCAGAUCUCUGGGCCGUUACUGACGCUGAGGAGCGAAAGCGUGGGGAGCGAACAGGAUUAGAUACCCUGGUAGUCCACGCCGUAAACGGUGGGCGCUAGAUGUGGGGACCAUUCCACGGUUUCCGUGUCGCAGCUAACGCAUUAAGCGCCCCGCCUGGGGAGUACGGCCGCAAGGCUAAAACUCAAAGGAAUUGACGGGGGCCCGCACAAGCGGCGGAGCAUGCGGAUUAAUUCGAUGCAACGCGAAGAACCUUACCAAGGCUUGACAUACACGAGAACGGGCCAGAAAUGGUCAA
rnacentral:rRNA from 1 species